rnacentral:rRNA from 1 species
CCUACGGGGGGCAGCAGUGAGGAAUAUUGGUCAAUGGACGAGAGUCUGAACCAGCCAAGUAGCGUGAAGGAUGACUGCCCUAUGGGCGUUAAACUUCUUUUGUGCGGGAGCAAUAAUGGUCACGUGUGGCCAGACGAGAGUACCGUACGAAUAAGCAUCGGCUAACUCCGUGCCAGCAGCCGCGGUAAUACGGGGUAUGCAAGCGUUAUCCGGAUUUAUUGGGGUGAAAGGGUGCGUAGGCUGGGAGGUAAGUCAGCGGUGAAAUGCCCCCGCGCAACGGGGUGAAGUGCCAUUGAUACUGCCUUGCUGGAAUGCGGAUGCCGUGGGAGGAAUGUGUGGUGUAGCGGUGAAACGCAUAGAUAUCACACAGAACACCGAUUGCGAAGGCAUCUCACGAAUCCGCGAUUGACGCUGAUGCACGAAAGCGUGGGUAUCAAACAGGAUUAGAUACCCGGGUAGUC